CGUAGGCGCAAGCGUUAUCCGGAAUUAUUGGCGUAAGAGCUCGUAGGCGGUUGUCGCGUCUGCUGUGAAUCCGGAGGCUCAACCUCCGGCCUGCAGUGGUACGGCAGACUAGAGUGCGGUAGGGAGAUUGGAAUUCCUGGUGUAGCGGUGGAAUGCGCAGAUAUCAGGAGGAACACCGAUGGCGAAGGCAGAUCUCUGGGCCGUAACUGACGCUGAGGAGCGAAGGUGGAGCAAACAGGCUU
rnacentral:rRNA from 1 species